UACGUAGGGUGCGAGCGUUAAUCGGAAUGACUGGGCGUAAAGGGUGCGCAGGCGGUUUAUUAAGAUAGAUGUGAAAUACCUGGGCUUAACCUGGGACUGGCAUAUAUGACUGAUAGACUAGAGUAGAGCAGAGGGGGGUAGAAUUCCACGUGUAGCAGUGAAAUGCGUAGAGAUGUGGAGGAAUACCGAUGGCGAAGGCAGCCCCCUGGGCUAGGACUGACGCUCGGGCACGAAAGCGUGGGGAGCAAACAGG
rnacentral:rRNA from 1 species